GUGCAGUAGAAGCCCUUGUGCUUUGGGGAAUGCAAAACAAUAAAAAGUUCACAUGAAAACUCACCACUGAAAGGAAACCCACCAAGAGCCACAUAUCUCUGCUACAUUCAUCAGCCAGCUUCCGAGAUUCUCACAAUGUCAUCAAAAUGCAGAGGAAUCUCUUUUCUAGGAAACAACUCCUCUUCCUGUAGAUGAACAGACCGCAUGUUUUCUGCUCAUAAAGGUGCAGUCACCAAUUGAUCUGUCAUAUUGUGGUUUUCAAAGAUGAACUGAGAAUGCUCUGAAAGGAAUUUGCAGUUGAAGAGCUGUAGGAAGACCUAGGGUAGGGAAUUACAUUUUCAUUGUGGCUAACUUUCAAUGACACUGAAGAUGUCUCACUUGGAAGAUCAUCAAACCCAUGUUUUCUCUUCUACUUCAACAGACAACGCUUCAUUCAUUUGAUGUAGAAACUCUGAAGAAACUAAUUUUCAUUUUGAAAUAAGUGUGAAUUCUUUUUAUCCUGAGAUUUAACAACUCUUGACAAUGCUUACAUUUUACUUCAGAAAAAUGAGCUGUUUUCAUAACUUCAGUCUUUCCAAUCACUUUUUCCCACCAAGUCUUUUAGUAUUCCCUUUCUCAACCCAGGUUAAAAUACAUGGAAUUUUUGUUACUACUACUUCUAAGCUACCUAUUUGUUGUAUUAAUAAAAUAACUAUCCCAUUUACUAAAAAUAAAAUGAAAAUAACCACUUCUUGAAGUUAAUACUCUAAAGAAUGGAAAAAAGAUUUGCUAAUCAUGAUCUUCAAUGAUUUCUCUUCCAUUAAUUUCAGAUCAAAUCCAUCCUUGAUUACAUGAUACUCUUGCUUAUUUUCUCCUUCACUAUAUCUAACAUUUAGCUCCAUCUCUGUUCUCCUGUGGCUAAGAAUAUACUAAAUUCCACCCAUAAGGCUUCCAGUUCCAUAACUAUGUUUAGUACAAAGUUUUCUUUUGUUUUAUAAUAUUUCUUUCACAAAGAUUUAAUGUGCAAAAAUGGCUUUUUUUAUCCUUUAAGCACUACAUUUUUCCUUUUUCAAUCUCUUAGAGCCUUAGCAAGCAUCUCCUAUGUUAUCAGAGAUGCCUGCUGACACCUUUAAAUAGUUCUGGCCAGUGCUCUAAAUAAGCUAGAGUCAAUUUUAUUAGUCUGUAAGAUUAUGGUCCUUAGUUUUUCAUAAUAAUUAUUAGCCACAUGAUUACAGCAGACUUCUGUAGUGAAUAUUGAAACAAAAAGGCGUUAAAUUGAUCUAAGAUAUUAUUAGUUUUCUCUCUCUGUUUAGUAUGGAAUAGUUUCUCAGUCUUUCUCUCAUUCCUUACCGAAUUCAAGUAGAAACUCCAUAGUCAUAAACUGUGAUGUCCUUAUAAAAACAUAUUUUUUUCAGUUGGUCACCUAUAAAAGGUUUCUUGCUUCUCCUAAUUAUAACUUCUUCUGUGCCUUUUUCUUUUUGAUUUAUGUCCCCACAUACUUAUGCAUUCCUUUAUACUAAUGCUAGUAAUCUCACAUAAUUUUCAUUUCCUGUAUGACUCACAUGUUUGAGGGCAAUGUAUAUGAUUUAACCAGAUGACUUCUUGCUAUAUACUCACUAUUCUUUCCUUGCAUUGGGAUCACUAAAUUCCAAAGUGUAUGCUUUCUGUCAGGAAGUGCUUAAUUCCUUUAUUCCUUUAAAUUUCUCUUCCAUGACAUGUGAUCUUCCAGUAUCCUGAGUUUGCUGAAGUCUGCUUUCUUGAAAUCCUUUUCCUCUCACUUUGCUGUUCUCCCUCCUUUCCUUACAAAGGGUCAUGGAUACUUUCAUUUCAUAUCCACACAAGUUCUCUUUCACUCUCAUGUUCUCAUCCACAUCCUAUUUAGCACAAAGCUGCUAUGCUAACCUCUUUAGUUGCUUCCUCUACUUCUCUGCUUUCUGUAUCAAG